UGCAGCUGACAAGCCCUGCCGCCCACAGGUCCACACACACAGUCAACACAGUCCUUCCCCGUGUGAGUGCCCCGACCUCCCCAAGCGGACCCAGUCUCUCCAUGGCGGGAGCCCCACACACUCUGCCACCGCCCCACACUCUCCACCCGCUCCUUGUGCACACCCUGCCCCGCUCAAGUCGGCUCAGUUGCCAGGCUGCAGAGAAUCCAGUCACCAAUCUAUGAAGGCCCACAAGUUGCCUGAGGGCUUGUUGUUGGGUGGGGCCAGUCUCUAGGGUGGGCUGCCUGCCCUGGCUGAGCUGGAUUAAAUCGCUGCUCUAGCGGGUGGGGCAGACCCUGGGCUAGCAGGCCUCAGGGAGAACUCCAAUGGCGUCUGUGUCAGCACGCCCACACCAGGCCACAACAAUGGCCGCCACCAAUGUCCCAGUCCCUGGAGAGGUCUCACCCCUCACCGAGAUGCACUCAGGGCCUAUUAGAUUGCAAGCUCUUUGAGGGCAGGAACAAUGUGCUAUUUAUUUGUGUGGACCCUGCAACAUGUGACAAGUGUAUGGUACACAACAGUCAACACAGGAGGGGUCAAGAGGGAGCAUCAGAAAAGUUUUGAGAGAGGAGGCAUCUUCUGAGGGAACACCGGUGGAAAAGCAGGAGUUUGAGGGGAGUGGUGAAGAACCUGGCUUUGGACAUGCUCUUUUUCAGGUGUUUGCCAUACACCCAUGUGGAGUUGGAUACAUGGGACCUAACCUCCAGAGAGAGAGUGACCAGGACCGGAGAUAGAGGCUUGGGAGCAUCAGUGACACGUACACAACAGUGCAGAGGGGCCUCGCCCACGGAACCGCCUCUGGCCCAAAGGCUGUGCUGACCACCCUAGGCCAGACUGGGAGAGUGAACCGCGCAUGCGCGGGCCACACAGCUCUAGCCUUACAGGAGGCCGACGGGUCAGCGACACGGACUUUUGGUGAGGAACCCCGGGGCCGCAAUGCGAUGUCUGCCAAGAUCCAAGGUUGCAGCAACCUGGACCAUUAUCCUUGGGGCCAGUCGUUUCUCCUGGCAGCUGUGAGGUGUCUAGAAUUCCUCCCAAGAGACCAUCGCUACCUGUCCUUGGAGCUUUUCCCCUGAAGGACAGCCUCAGGGCCUUGCUGUCUCCUUUUGACGGGGCCAACUGCCAUGGGGGAGCUGACCCCUUUACCCAAGUCCCUCCAUCAGGAAAUGUUCUCCUCUUUUGCACCCCAUGGGGGACGCCCGAGGGUCGAGGCAGAGACUGGGGCCUGGGCCCGGUGGGUGGAGUGUGGGCUUUCCCAGGACGGCGAACAGGGCAGUUGGAGCCUGCAGGCUGUGCUAUGUGGCUACACUAUAUAUCUUUGUCACAUACUUAAUUACUAGUAAUAAAAGUUGUAGGAGAAAAAAGAAUGAUCCUACAAAAUUAGAUAAGACCAGGAAUUGUAAAUAUACAAUUAUAGGAUGGAAACAAGAAAACCAAAGAUAUUAAAAACUAAGAUUAUAGAUGUUCCAGAAUACUUCUCAGUCACAUGACAAACUAAGCUAACAUAGACUUAGCUCUCCCUCUGCAUUACACUACACAUAGUCAAGUGCAAAAGAAAAAACUUGGCAAUUUACAGGAUCCAGAAACAAAAUACCAACUCAAAGCCAGAAGUCCCAGUGUGCAAGUUGCUACUGUGGCAGACCAAGAUGGCGCCUGUGGUCUAUAUAAACGAUAAAGACCGGUGCUAGGGAUUUAAUACUAAGGAAUGUGGCUGUGGCCAACAAGAGUUGGGGAGUUAAAACUAAAACCCUAGCGUAAAGCUGAAACCAUAAAGGGUUUCACACUCUUAAAAAAGAUUUCUAGAAAACACCUGGAACAGAGAAGUAAGGGUUUGGAGUUGAGGAUAAGGAGAAAAUAAUUCUUCUAUAAGUAAUUAAAACCCCAAGUGUUAUCCACAGAUGGGACCUAGAUUCACACCACUUGCAUUCCAUGGCAGUUUCAAGAUGAGAAAUUAGCAUACUUUCCUGGACCAGUGAAACUCCAGAGAUUAAUAGUAGAAUUAAAUACAAAAUGGGGAUGUUUCCACAACCCAUAGUCACAAGACUUAUAGAAAAGGUAAUCUGGACCAAAGAUGAAUUCAUAACAACCAAAAAUACAAGCCACAUAAAAAAACAAUUUACUGGAAAGGAGAUUUAGCAGAAACACAAACAAGAAAAUUGGCACCUCAAAGAACUUAAGGAAAUGAAAUAAUUUGAAAAAGUUUGGAAAAAAAAUUCAAGAAUAAAAGGAUGGAAAUUACAAUGAGGUAAUAGAGUAUAUAUUAAAAAGAGCUGGCAAAUUUGAAAACAAACCAUCUAGAACUUCUAGAAAUAGUUUUUGAAAUUUUGGUUAAAAAAUACCCUCAAAAAAUAAUUACAUAGCAGAUCACACAAACUAGGACAAGAAUGAAGAGAACUGAAAGCUGUUUGAGAAACUUACCAGAAUGCACAGGAAGAGAUAAAAAGGUUAGACUGAGAUACAAAGGAUAGAUUGAGAAGAUUUAAUGGCAUAAAGGACAUUUUUGAAAAAAUGGCUGAGAAUUUUCCAGAAUCAAAGAAA